rnacentral:rRNA from 1 species
GAUGAACGCUGACAGAAUGCUUAACACAUGCAAGUCAACUUGAACUUCGGUUUGGGUGGCGGACGGGUGAGUAACGCGUAAAGAACUUGCCUCACAGCUAGGGACAACAUUUGGAAACGAAUGCUAAUACCUGAUAUUAUGAUUAUAUGGCAUCGUAUAAUUAUGAAAGCUAUAUGCGCUGUGAGAGAGCUUUGCGUCCCAUUAGCUAGUUGGAGAGGCAACAGCACACCAAGGCGAUGAUGGGUAGCCGGCCUGAGAGGGUGAUCGGCCACAAGGGGACUGAGACACGGCCCUUACUCCUACGGGAGGCAGCAGUGGGGAAUAUUGGACAAUGGACCGAGAGUCUGAUCCAGCAAUUCUGUGUGCACGAUGAAGUUUUUCGGAAUGUAAAGUGCUUUCAGUUGGGAAGAAAAAAAUGACGGUACCAACAGAAGAAGUGACGGCUAAAUACGUG